rnacentral:rRNA from 1 species
CCCAGACUCCUACGGGAGGCAGCAGUGGGGAAUAUUGCACAAUGGGGGAAACCCUGAUGCAGCAACGCCGCGUGAGUGAAGAAGUAUUUCGGUAUGUAAAGCUCUAUCAGCAGGGAAGAAAAUGACGGUACCUGAGUAAGAAGCCCCGGCUAACUACGUGCCAGCAGCCGCGGUAAUACGUAGGGGGCAAGCGUUAUCCGGAUUUACUGGGUGUAAAGGGAGCGUAGACGGCGAUACAAGUCUGAAGUGAAAGCCGGGGGCUCAACCCCGGGACUGCUUUGGAAACUGUGUUGCUGGAGUGCUGGAGAGGCAAGCGGAAUUUCUAGUGUAGCGGUGAAAUGCGUAGAUAUUAGGAGGAACACCAGUGGCGAAGGCGGCUUACUGGACUGUAACUGACGUUGAGGCUCGAAAGCGUGGGGAGCAAACAGGAUUAGAUACCCCGGUA